rnacentral:rRNA from 1 species
UACGUAGGGGGCAAGCGUUGUCCGGAAUCAUUGGGCGUAAAGCGCGCGUAGGCGGUCCGGUAAGUCCGCUGUGAAAGUCAAAGGCUCAACCUUUGAAUGCCGGUGGAUACUGUCGGACUCGAGUCCGGAAGAGGCGAGUGGAAUUCCUGGUGUAGCGGUGGAAUGCGCAGAUAUCAGGAGGAACACCAAUAGCGAAGGCAGCUCGCUGGGACGUUACUGACGCUGAGACGCGAAAGCGUGGGGAGCAAACAGG